ACCACUUCUCAGACUUUUGACUAAGAUCAAGUGUAACAUCUGUUCUUAUCAGUUUAAUAUCUGAUAUGUCCUCUAUCCAAAGAUAAUACAGUAAAUGGAUUUUUGGAGCAGGGAGAGGGAGAGGAACUUGUUCUGCCCACUCCAUACAUCGACCUGGUAUUGCAGUACCUCCAGGCACUCCUCCA
rnacentral:snRNA from 1 species